UGUAAGAAGCUUGUCGUGUUUUUUUCUUCUCCCCGUUCUAAUUCGAUAUAAGAUAUAUCAUGUAUAAAAUAUAUCAUAUGUAUAUAUAUAUGAAGUCUUAUACACUGGGUUUCCACUGGUCGAUUGUAUAACUUUUUACUGAUCGUCUUUUGGUUACGUGUUGACCUGGGGACGAGUCAGUCAGUGUACGACCUGACGUUCACGCAAGUGAUCAAAGCGCUUUUUUUUCAAUGUUCCUUUCUGGGCGCGAAGUCAGGGAAAUAUUCGCAAGGAUGGAGAACAUUCAACAGAAUCAGUAUGCAAUCAAGCAUGGAAUGGAUUCCAGAUAGGAAUAUAGGAUUCACCUUACACUCAGAAACUGGGGGAUAGGCCUAGUUGUUCAAAAUACACGGCGUUGCUGCAUGGACUUGAAGAGAUAGUUAUGAAUUUAGAAUAUCAUCAAGUGACUUUUAAUAAGGCACUGUUUUCAGUGGAUGAACCGACAUCAUGCAGUGUGACAGGAAAACGCCCGUGAGACCAAAGAUGGCUUAGAUAAAAGGGAAGACGAUGCAGAAGGUGCAUAUAUACAAGUUCAAGACAUAGAUAUUUUAAAUUUUGCAUGAUGUUCAUUUACAAAACCUGUUAUGCAACCUCUCAAAUAAUUCAUUAUGCUAUCUUUUAAGCCUCUGUACCAGAGAAAAAUCCAGAGAUGGCCCUCAAAGAAGUUAGAAACAAGAUGAGAGACCGUCUCAAGUUGUUUAGGUCUGGAGCCACCUUCCCCC